rnacentral:rRNA from 1 species
CCUACGGGAGGCAGCAGUGAGGAAUAUUGGUCAAUGGACGCAAGCCUGAACCAGCCAUGCCGCGUGCAGGAAGACGGCUCUAUGAGUUGUAAACUGCUUUUGUACGAGGGUAAACGCAGAUACGCGUAUCUGUCUGAAAGUAUCGUACGAAUAAGGAUCGGCUAACUCCGUGCCAGCAGCCGCGGUAAUACGGAGGAUUCAAGCGUUAUCCGGAUUUAUUGGGUUUAAAGGGUGCGUAGGCGGUCGGAUAAGUUAGAGGUGAAAUCCCGAGGCUCAACUUCGGAAUUGCCUCGGAUACUGGUCGGCUAGAGUGUAGUAGCGGUAGGCGGAAUGUAUGGUGUAGCGGUGAAAUGCUUAGAGAUCAUACAGAACACCGAUUGCGAAGGCAGCUUACCAGGCAACUACUGACGUUGAGGCACGAAAGCGUGGGGAGCAAACAGGAUUAGAUACCCGGGUAGUC